rnacentral:rRNA from 1 species
CCUGGUUGAUUCUGCCAGUAGUCAUAUGCUUGUCUCAAAGAUUAAGCCAUGCAUGUCUAAGUAUAAGCAAUUAUACGGCGAAACUGCGAAUGGCUCAUUAUAUAAGUUAUCGUUUAUUUGAUAGCACCUUACUACUUGGAUAACCGUGGUAAUUCUAGAGCUAAUACAUGCUAAAAACCUCGACUUCGGAAGGGGUGUAUUUAUUAGAUAAAAAACCAAUGCCCUUCGGGGCUCCUUGGUGAAUCAUAAUAACUUAACGAAUCGCAUGGCCUUGCGCCGGCGAUGGUUCAUUCAAAUUUCUGCCCUAUCAACUUUCGAUGGUAGGAUAGUGGCCUACCAUGGUGGCAACGGGUAACGGGGAAUUAGGGUUCGAUUCCGGAGAGGGAGCCUGAGAAACGGCUACCACAUCCAAGGAAGGCAGCAGGCGCGCAAAUUACCCAAUCCCGACACGGGGAGGUAGUGACAAUAAAUACUGAUACAGGGCUCUUUUGGGUCUUGUAAUUGGAAUGAGUACAAUUUAAAUCCCUUAACGAGGAACAAUUGGAGGGCAAGUCUGGUGCCAGCAGCCGCGGUAAUUCCAGCUCCAAUAGCGUAUAUUAAAGUUGUUGCAGUUAAAAAGCUCGUAGUUGAACCUUGGGCCUGGCUGGCCGGUCCGCCUCACCGCGUGUACUGGUCCGGCCGGGCCUUUCCUUCUGGAGAACCUCAUGCCCUUCACUGGGUGUGUUGGGGAACCAGGACUUUUACUUUGAAAAAAUUAGAGUGUUCAAAGCAGGCCUUUGCUCGAAUACAUUAGCAUGGAAUAAUAGAAUAGGACGUGCGGUUCUAUUUUGUUGGUUUCUAGGACCGCCGUAAUGAUUAAUAGGGACAGUCGGGGGCAUCAGUAUUCAAUUGUCAGAGGUGAAAUUCUUGGAUUUAUUGAAGACUAACUACUGCGAAAGCAUUUGCCAAGGAUGUUUUCAUUAAUCAGUGAACGAAAGUUAGGGGAUCGAAGACGAUCAGAUACCGUCGUAGUCUUAACCAUAAACUAUGCCGACUAGGGAUCGGGCGAUGUUCUUUUUCUGACUCGCUCGGCACCUUACGAGAAAUCAAAGUUUUUGGGUUCUGGGGGGAGUAUGGUCGCAAGGCUGAAACUUAAAGGAAUUGACGGAAGGGCACCACCAGGAGUGGAGCCUGCGGCUUAAUUUGACUCAACACGGGGAAUACUCAACUGCUAUGGAUGCGGUAUUAUUAAUCACGUGAAUAUGAUGCUCAUCAAAACGUGCAAGAUACUUCUCUU